GAGUAUAGUCAAGUUUGAACGUCAUGAUUCUGUUGUAGGAGUAAAGGCUGUUUAAAACCACGUAGGUGAAGAAUAAUUGACUGACAAAGUACCUCUGGAACAGCAGGUUCAUUGUUUGUUAAGGACAAGGCAGCAGAAGAGGUGCGACUCUACAGCCUGGUGAAUACAGUAUUUAUCAUGUUUUAAGGACCUUUAAUUCCCUGGAAAAUGAGCAACAGUUGAAGAGGAUGCUACUCCCUGCUCAGAAGAACUGCAGCAGGGUUGAUGCCUUACAAGACAAUGGAAAUGAAGGAAAUGAGCAACUGUCAGAUUGGAUGCUGUUCUCGCUCAAGAUAACUGCAGCAGGGUGGACGCUUCACAACAAGCUUCAUCUGAACUAACAGCUCCCACAGCAGCAGCCCUUGGAUACGCCGGCAAACCCCCCCCAACAAUCGCAAACCCAUACCAAAGCGGACCAGGAGAAGAGCAAACACAUCCCAUCUGUCACGAAAAGCGUCAGUGUUGCUCUCUGCCCUUGUUUUAAAAAUGUUGUCCAGUUAUGACAAAAACACUGCUGUGGCUAAGUCCGAGCUAAUCACUCCACUAGCAGCCAUGGUAAACAACCAGUCACACAACAACUCACCCCUUCACCGUAACUAUCACACACUCAUGCCGAAGCAGGUCAGCAAAGGAGCGAAAACAUCUUUCACAUCAUGAAAAGCUUUUAGGGUUGUUUUUUUAGGGUUUUAACGUUGUCGUGGUCCAGUCCUAGUAAAACUGACGCAAUACUAAAGCUACAUCCGAAGUAAUCACACUGGAGGCAGCCAUUAACGACAGCUUUCAGUAAGCUAAACCCUCCCCAUAGCAACUCUGUAUGCAUGGCUCUGAAAGUGGCUUCACUUACUCAGUCAGGCAGUCACAGACAGCAUGAGCUUUUGUCUGUAAUAAGAACAGGAGGACAGUUUAAACCUUUUCCCUCUAGAGGACUCCCUAAAACAGACUGUGUCCUAUAUACUAGUGUGACUUACAUUCUGGAUUUAACUUACCAUUUUGAAUGAAUUACAAAGAUUGUCAAGCUUUAGUCACAAAGAAGUAUACAUUUCUUUCUUUAAAACACCCAAAACAGUGCUUUUACAGAAAAGUUAGUGAAUACAUACCCACGGCCCUCCCUCUGCCUAGAUUUGUUAUUCAUCUUCUUUCUGGGCAUCAGCCUCUGGGCAGUGCUCUGUAAC